rnacentral:lncRNA from 1 species
ACAUUCAUUAUCCUCUUUAAUUCUCUUAAGAAUUGUAUGAGCUGGGUGCGGUGGCUCAGGACUGUAAUUCCAGCUACAUGAGAGGAUUGCCUGAGGCCAGGAGUUUGAGACCAGCCUGAACAACAUAAUAGACUGGGAGCUCCAUGAGGUCCGAGACAACCUGAAGACGCCCAGCUCAGCAGAGACUGGCUACGGCAAUCACUCAGUAACUAUUUGUUGAAUUGGACAUAAUAGAAGAGCUGAAGAAUUUUAAACAAGUCACCAUCAGUGCAGUGGAUUCCUCAAAGCAAACCUGGAAAUCUCGGCAUGAGUUGGAUUUAAGGCAGUACAUUUUCAGCUCCUGAAAAUUUGAACAGUUUCUCAAGAGAACAACUUGAAACAGAAAGGCAAGGAUGUAGAUGUGGUUGUAGAAGAUGAUGUCUGCGGCCACCAAACUGUCCACUGUGAAGACAAACCAUGCAUGUUUAGUAGGCAGUGGCUCCUCUUCCCUGUGGGGAGUCCCACUGCUUCCCUGGCCUGGGUGUUCUCUGCCGGUAGAUGUUAUUGACAAAAUAAGCAAAGUCCUCUGAUUCUGAGAAUUAGAGUUAAUGAUAGCUCUAGAUUGCCUCUGCCAUGCUAUUUAAAGUCCUGCUUUAUUGUCUGACAUGAGUUCGGCAUCUAUGAGGACUUGUCCAGUGCAAAGUACAAUCUCCACUGAAAGAUAUCACCAGCACAUCUUGUCACUGUGCUGUAGCAAGCUGGGCAGUACAAUGAUGUUGGCAGGAUCCUGUUUAGGUGGAGGAUGGCCACCUGGGCAUCAAGAAUCUUCUACCCUGAUUCCACAUUGACUCCCCAAAGUGGGCUUCAGACAGCUCUUUACUUACGUCUUCUGAUUAAAGCAGCAGACAGGGUCCCAGCUAGAGAAAAGUUCUGGGAGCAGGAGAGGUGUUGGUGGCUUUAAAACCAGGGGUGAAGAUUGAAUUAGGAGGUUAGGCAGGAGUAGGAUCAAAGACUUAGAAAAUGCUUGUUUCCUCCUAUUAUUCUUAUGAGAGCUGAUACGGGGCUUUCAGUUUUGGGGGAGAGCCUUGGAAGAGAAUGAGGGAAUUUAAUCAACUAGCGGGACCUUUCCAACUUACAUUUCCCAGUGUUUGUUGGAUGAUACGUUUGCCUAAUAAGUUAAAGCUUCCAAAAAUAGAAAGGAAAGCUUGGUGACACUAAGCUCUGGCAUGCUGUCAUCUUCUGGCUAGGGGUCUUGUGCUUCUGUUUUUCUAUUUCUGACCAAAGACAUAAAAUGUGUUGUGACCUCUCAGGUAAUGCUGUGGUAUCAUGUCCAAGCAGUAACUAACCAGAGUGGAGUUUUUACAGGUAAAAAAGUAUUGAAUAGCUCAGCAACAGGGAGGACUUAAUGAUAAAUUGCUUUUUCAGAAAAUGACAAGGGGACAGACACUUGCGGUUCUUCCAUUGAGAGCCUUAAGGAAGUUAAGCGAAGCCUCUGCUCACCCCUUCAAGUAACGAUGACCCAUCAGAUCGUGGUCAUAACCAGUAGCAUCUGAGGCACCCCUAAGCUCUCUGGGCCCCAGAUUCCUUGUUAAGUUAAAUGAGGUGACUUCCCAGUUUACCAUUCUAGGGGUUCCUGAGGAGUUAAAAAUGAAGGAGAAAAUGCAACAUGUACCAAGUGAGCAAGAGCUCAAGGCUUAUCUCUGGCACGAAAGUGACCGCUGUCCGUUAGAGAUGUGAUUGCCCUAGAUUUCCUUUAGGAAAUGCAAACAUUGAACUCUGGCCUUCAGGACCCAAGUCCCGGCUUGCAUCUAUUCUAUACACUUUCUGUUAUUUGUUAGGGCUCACAAGGAACAGUUAUUUAUCUUUUAUUUUCUAUUUUUUUUUUAGAGAUGGAGUCUCACUCUGUCUCCCAGGCUGGAGUGCAGUGGUGCCAUCUCAGCUCACUGCAACCUCCACCUCCCGGGUUCAAGCAAUUCUCCUGUCUCAGCCUCCUGAGUAGCUGGGACUACAGGCGUGUGCCAUCAUGCCCGGCUAAUUUUUAGUAUUUUUAGUAGAGGCAGGGUUUCACCAUAUUGGCCAGGCUGGUCUUGAACUCCUGAUCUCAAGUGAUCUACCCUCCUUGGCCUCCCAAACUGCUGGAAUUACAGAUGUGAGCGACCACACCUGGCCCAUUUGUUUUCUUUCAAACCCUUCUGUAAGACCAGUGCUUUAGGUGAACACGUGGACAGAACAAGAUCAUCACUAUUUUGCAAUAUGAAGACCAACUGCGCUGUGACCAGAAAAACAGAGGCAAAAUGUUGAGCUUAAUGAUACCUUUUUAUAAUUUGUAUUUGGUGUUUCUCAAUUUUCCAUUGGAUAGUUUGAGAGAUAAGUACAAGUCAAUGACAUGUUCUCUUUCGUACCCUAUUGUCUAAUCCUGCUAACACACACACACACACACACACACACACUGAUUACCUAAUUUAUCUGUUCCCCGAUUAUUACACUCUCAAUUGCUGCAGAGUCUCAGAAGCAGCAUGGUGUAACAGAAAGAAUAUGAGGCUUAGAAUCCAAAAGCCAGAGUGUGAAUUCCAGCUCCACUGACUUGCUGCGUGACUUGAAGCAAGUCAUUACGUGUCUCUGUUUACUCAUUUUAUGACUUUCCUAUUGCCUCUGUAAUAUAGCACCACAAACGUGUGGACUUAAAACAACAUGCAUUUAUUCUCUUAGCGUUCUGGAGGUCAGGAGUCUGACAUCAAUUUCGUUGGGCUAAAAUCAAGAUGUUGGUAGGACCAAGAUCCCCGUGGAGGCUCUGGGAGAACCCAUUUCCUUGCCUUUGCCAGCUUCUAAUGCUGCAUUCCUUGCAUUCCUUGAUUGUUGACCUCUUCCCCCAUCUUCAAAGCCAGCAGAACAGCACCUUGUUUCAUUGCCUUCUUUACUGUCAAAUCUCCCUCUGCCUUCUUCUUAUAAGAACACUUGUGGUUGCAUUUAGAAGCUGUGAUAAUCCAGAAUAAUAUCUUUAUCUCAAGAUCUUUGACUUGGUCUCUUCUGCAAAGUCUCUUUUGCCACAGAGGGAAAUAUUCACAGGUCCCAGGGGUCAGGCUGUGUACGUCUUUGGGGGACUUUAUUCUGCCUACCACACUCAUCUUUUUUUUUUUUUUUUUUGGAUGGAGUCUUGCUCUGUCACCCAGGCUGGAGUGCAGUGGCAUGAUCUCGGCUCACUGCAACUUCUGCCUCCCCAGUUCAAGCAAUUCUCCUGCCUCAACCUCCCAAGUAGCUGGAAUUACAGGCGCCUGCCACCACGCCCGGCUACUUUUUGUACUUUUAGUAGAGAUGGGGUUUCACUAUGUUGGCCUGGCUGGUCUUGAACUCCUGACCUCAGGUGAUUCCCCCACCUUGGCCUCCCAAAGUGCUGAGAUUACAGACGUGAGCCACCAUGCCCGGCCCCACACUCAUCUAUUAAGUAGAGCUAGGAAUUCCUAUCCUAAGGGACACAAAAAUGAAAAAAGAUAAAAUUUGUGAAGAGGCACAUAAUGAAAGCCCAUACAUGUCACUGAGUUCAGAGGAGGGUGGGUCUGACCUCCCAUUGGCUGGUCUCUGCCUGAUGGACAUCGUGAAGAAGAGAGCCAGGACUAGUGUGGCUGGGGGAUGUUCAGGGGCCAGAGUGGCUUCAGGUGCCAGCAGCCCUGGCCGAAGGAUGACUCCAGGAGCAAGGCUCAGAGCCGAGUGGAAGAAGCUUCAUAAACGCAACUGAGCCAAGCAUGAUGGGAUGUGCCUGUGGUUCCAGCUACUCAGGAGGCAGGUGGGAGGAUGGCUUGAGUCAGAAGUUCGAGGCUGCAGUGAGCUAUGAUCACACUACUGUACUCCAGCCUGGGUGACAGAAUGACACCCUGUCUCUAAAAAGAAAAGGCACCUGGAUGCUCAUGACCGAGAUGGGGUGGGGUGGGUGGGGUGGGACAGCCGCACUUUAUAACUUUGCUUUCAGCAUGAUGUGGAUUAGUGUCUCCCAUGUGGGAAAAUUAUGUUUACCACUUAGAGACCUGAUAGUGCUUGCUUACCCCAUAACGCUGGACGGUGGCAGGCUUAACUCCCCCAUCAAGGGCCUUAAUGUAUUUGGGGCCCUAGUCCUAGCAACAGCAGCAAAUCUCCUUUUUCUUUUCCUCGAGCUGGUUGUUCACCAGGCAGUUGGGAUGUUAAUGGGAAGAGAAGACACACACAAGUCCCUUGUUUUCAAUAAGGCAGUCUGGUCACGUCCUUAGCAGGUUAUUAAUCUUUUUCAAACCCCUCCUCUCCACCAAGUUUUAUGAUCCUGGGAAGGAGAUUCCUACCUAGCAUCCUUAGAGUUAUCGGGGGUUAGGAUCGGUGCAUGCAGUCACUUCCGUGGAAUCAUCAGUAGCCCUCCAGCCUCUGGGGAGAGCUGCCAGUGGUCAGAGAUGUUGGGAAUUACGAGGGAGGAGCUAGGGAGAAGGAACUCACAGUCCCUCAGUCUCUGAAGGUGGCUCCUGGCAGGAGAGGGGGCCAGUCCUAGAUAAGAGCUCUCCCAGGGAAUUCCAAGGGUCCUCCCAAGGUCCAGCCACAAGAUGAGGAAUUACUGUUGGGCUCUUCCUCAGAUGUGCCUGUGAAUUCAUAUCACAGAUGCUUGAUGCAUUUGACAAUUGUUUAAUUGCUUGAGCCCAACUGAUACUCUUUCAGUCACUUUAAGGGAGUGAUUUCAAGUAUGAUCAUUGCCUCAAAUCUGUAUGGCUUUCCUUGCCUUUCAGGUGCUUUAAGAGGGCUUAUGUUCUUUGACUCCCCUAGUAACUCAAAAGGGUGGCUAAGAUGCAACUCUGGAGGUUUCCAAGCUCUCUGCAAAGCCUGCCUUCAGUAGUCUGUGCACCACAAGAAGCAUAACUUUAUUAUCCUCUAGCUGAAUUUACCUCCUGCUUCGAGCCCCUGUUUUCCCAUGUCAUUUUAGGGGUCCAAUGUUUUUCCUGGAGGCAUAUACACACACACACACACACACACACACACACACACACACACACACACACACACAUAUAUACACACACACAUUCCAGGGGCCUCUGAGGUGCCAAGACAUGUGUGGGGUCCAUCUGGUUCACACUGAUGUCCAUGAUCAUUGAGUUCAUUUUUUAUAUCAACUAUGUGACACUUCCUAUAGUUUCCAGUUCCUGGUUAGAAUUUGCAAAGUUGCCGACUAUUUCUUUGAAUAGAGUAGCUAGAUCAUGGGUCUACACCAGUCAUCAAGCAGCGAUUUCCCUGUUGGAAGCUCCAAGCAAAUUGUCAGCUCCAGCAUUCCACACAGCUGUGGGUGCCACACUCCUUUUCCUUUUAAAAGAUGAUGAUCUGCUAGUGGUGAAUGCUCUUGGAGUUUUAUUUGUAGGUUUUUCUUGUUGUCGCAAAUGUCUAUAUUUCAUCUUCCCUCUUGAGGGAUAUUUUCCAUGGGUAGAGGAUCUAGGCUUUUCUUUUGGAUUCCAUUGUGGCUUUAAAAAAAAGUCAGUUGACUGUUUAUUUAUGGCUUCUCUAAAGGUGAUCUCUUUCUUCCUAAGGCUGCUUUAAAAGUUUCCGUUCCCUCCCUCCCUUCCUCCCACCCCAUCCCCCUUCUUCCUUUCCUUCCUCCCUCCCUUCCUCCCUUCUCUUCCUCCCUUUCUCCCUUGUCUUCCUCCUUUUCUCCCAUCCUCCCUUCCUCCCUCUUUCCUUCUUUUUUCCCUUCCUCCCGCCCUCCUUCCUUCUUCCAUCAUUAUAUAUUAAAAUAUUUUCUUUCUUUCUUUUUUUUUUUUGAGAUGGAGUUUCGCUCUUGUUGCCCAGGCUGGAGUGCAACGGUGUGAUCUUGGCUUACUGCAACCUCCACCUCCCUGGUUCAAGCGAUUCACCUGCCUCAGCCUCCCUAGUAGCUGGGAUUACAGGUGCCCGCCACCACACCCAGCUAAUUUUUGUAAUUGUAGUAGAGAUGGGGUUUCACCAUGUGGGCCAGGCUGGUCUUGAACUCCUGAACUCAGGUAAUCCACCCGCCUUGUCCUCCCAAAGUGCUGGAAUUACAGGCAUGAGCCACCACUCCCAGCCUAUUAAAAUAUUUUCUUCUGGGCCUUCCCUCCUUUUACUUCUUUUGAUACCGCCAUCAAAUGCAUGUUAGGUUGACUCACUGUGUACUCUAUUACCCUCUCAUCUGGUUUUUAAUCUUUCUGUCUCCUUAUACUGUAAUCUCAGUGUUUCUUCUGCUUUAAUUUUGGUAUAUGAAUUAUUCAGCUGUGUUCAAAGUGUGGUUAAAGCGACUUAUAUGCUCUUUAAUUUUUAGUUAUUGUACUUUUCACCUCUAGAAGUUCUUCUGUGACACUUCUUAUAGUUUCCAGUUCCUGGUUAGAAUUUGCAAACUUGUUGACUAUUUCUUUGAAAAGAGUAGCUAGAAUUGUUUUAGUCUGUGUAUAGUGAGUUGAAUAUCUGAAACCUCUGUGAGUCUGUUUCUUUUGUCUGCUAGCCCUACUCAUGGCGUCAUGUUUUCCUGGAUGUUUAGUUGGUUGUCUUUGAAUAUGUCCAACUCCAGUUAUUUCUGGGAAUACCCAAAGGCACACCUGUUCACUAUCACCCAGUGAACUGCCAUGUGUUUGUCUCCUGUCAUGGUAACAUUUGCAUUCAGGGAGAGGCCUCUGCUCUCUGCAGAACAGUGUGAAAUCACCUCAUUUUUGCCUUCAAUGAAGGUUGUCUCUUGCUGGUCACCACCACUUCCUCAAAUGACUAAUGCCACUCUUGCUCACAGUGCUAAGGCGCUAAGGAGUUUUCAGAGGGCUAGAGUGAUUCUGCAUCCUCUGGGGUUCUCAGGAAACGAGGCCACAGGGCCAUCUGUGCAUGAGUGACAGUGGGGUGGGGUGGAUGAGCAGUGGCAGUGGUGGGCACCUAUGCUGCUGGCGCCACAGCUUUUUAUAUCUUGGUGAAAACAACGCCUUGCGUUUUCACUUGUAGAUUCUCCGGCUACAUUCCACAAGAACAAAUUCUGGUCACAGAGGCCAGAGUAGACUAUCAGUGUAAUGGCCCUUCCCCUUUGAUGAUAGCAGCUUUUUUCGGGGGAGCAGGGGUGGCCAAACUUCCUAGCCUUAUUUUAUCUUCCUUUCUAGUUCUCCCCAGAGGCUGCUGGGUCCACCUCUCCCUCUGCCAGACAGACAGGCUCAGACAUGCAAGAACGGAAGGGGGUGUGGGGGUUGGUGGGAGGAUUAAGUUGGGGAAAGCCAGUCUUGUCUUUGUAGAUUACCAGAACUGACACACGUACACACACGUACACUCACUCACUCACUCACUCAUCUAUUCAUCUAUUUUUGGCCUAAGUGCCUUUGGACACUUCUUCGGAAAAGCACAUGAACUCUUCGGAGUCUCCUGUUCCACUUGGUAAAUUUCCUAUAGCCACGCACUGAAAGUCCCUGCUGCCCUCCUUCCUCUGAGCUUGUGGGGCCCACAGAUCCCCUGCUCCACUUCCUGCUUCAUUUCAGCUGAUGGUGAGUCCAGGGCAGGCUUGUAGGAAGGGCGGGCUAGGCGUGGGGAACUGCAGCACCCACCCCACCCCCCGCCCCAGUGCUUGUUGCCCCAGCCUCUGUCUCCCUCGCUGUGCCCUUCCCUUAAGCCCCACUCUUGGCCUCCCCAAAGACAGAGUUUGUUCUGUUUUUAUUGAUAGGAUGACACUCCCUCGUUCUAAUACCAUCUGAAUGCCUGAGCAAUUACAUCUUACAACCUCAUGAAAAACACAGCAGCUUGUCACGAUGAAUGAUGUUACCGUGAAUAAUGCAGUUUUGAGUUCAAACUCCUUCUUAUUCCAAGAAUGAGUAAAUAUCCCUAUUCCCUCCCCUCCCCAUUGCAUUUGGGUUUGACAUGACAUGAAUCAUUGUGGUUUUACUCCUGGGUAGAAUUGUUUUUCUGUAUUGCAUUGCCAAUUGAUGGAAGGACAAAAAAAGGAAACUUACCAAUGAGCAGUUUCAGAUGAACUUAAAUUCUCAGAAAUCUUGAAGAAUGAAUGAACUAUAACUUUCUGAAGUUGCAAAAAUGUUCAAGUCGGAAGUGACCCAUGGGAAGCAACCUGGUCCUUAAUUAGGACUGGAAAGAAAACGGAGGCCCAGCGAGGGAACAGUGGCUUCCCCAAGGUCACACUGCAAGUGAGUGGUGGCACUAGUCACCCAGGAGUCCUCCUGACUCCAUGGUAUCCUGACCCCAGACCAGCAGCCUUAUUUGUGGUUAAAGAACGUGGAAAAACAGCUUAUGUUUGAAUUUUAAAAUCAUGCCAGUACUAAAGAUCUGCAUUCCAUGAAUAUUGAGCUUUGCUGUGUGCGGGUUGCUACGAAUUUUGUAACUAUUUUCUCUAAGAGCUCUCAGUAUUUUACAUAUACAAUUCCAUUCUUUAUUGUCCAGGGAAAAAGUUGCAUUUACUGAGCAGUAAGAGGGUGAUUUGAAGUCCCUGGGGUCCCCCACCCUUGUCUUUCUAUGUGAGAUUGUAUUGCAGGGCUCACAUUUAUUCUCUCAGCAGCUCAUUGCACAGACAGUGUAUUUAUUGAGCACCUACUGUGUGCCAGGAGCUAUGUGGUAAGCUAAGCAGACAAAAACUCCUGCUCUCACAAGAAGAAAGAAUAAACAAGCAGACAAUUGCACCUAUAAUGUCAGCCUGGUGUGAUGGCUCACUCCUGGAAUCCUAGCACUUUGGGAGGUGACGAUGGGAGGAUUGCUUUAACUCGGGAGUUCAAGAUAAGCCUGGGCAACCAAGACCCUGUCUCUACAAAAAAAUCAAAAAAUUAGCUGGGGGUGAUGGCAUGAGUCUCUGGUCCCUCGGGACCAGAGGCCUCGGGAGGCUGAGGCGGGUUUAUCACUUGAGCCUGGGAGGUUGAGGCUGCAGUGAGCUGUGAUCACACCACUGCACUCCAGCCUGGGCCACAGAGCGAGACCCUGUCUCUAAAUAAACAAACAACCUAAUGUCAAGUUAGGAAGUGUGGCAAAAAGGAACAAAGUCAGGGUGACUGCCAUUCUAGAAAGGGUGGUGAGGGAAGGUCUCCUUGAGCAGAUCCUGUGGGAGUGGAAGGGUAAGUCACGAGACUCUCUGGAGGAAGAAGAUUCCAGGUGGAAAUGCCUUAGUGGGUGUUAAACGCUUUAACGGGUGUUAGCCAGAAAGCCAGAAUGGCUGGAGCUGAGGGAGUAGAGGAGGCGGCAUAGAAAAUGAGGUCAGAGAUGGAGGCAGGGCCGGAUCACAGAGGGGCACAGAGAACGAGGAGGGAAUUGGAUUUUUGGAAAAGAUUGUGGCAAAAUACAAAAUAUAAAAUACAAAAAUAAAAUAUAAACCAUAAAAUGUACUACCUUUACCAUUUUAAGUAUGCAGUUCAGUAGUGUUAAAUACAUUUACAUCAUUGUUCAACCCGUCUCCAGAACUCUCUGCAUCUUGCAAAAUUAAAACUCUAUGCCAUUUCAACAGUUCGCAUUUCCUCUUCCCUCUCGUUCAUGGCAACCGCCAUUUUUCUUUCUGUCUCUGUAAAUGUUAGUACUUGGGGUAUCUCAUCUAAGUGGAAUCACACAGUGUGUGUCCUUUUGUGACAGACUUAUUUCACUUUGCAUAAUGUCCUUAAUAUUCAUCCAUGUUGUAGCAUGUGUCAGAUUUUCCUUCCUUCUUAACAUUGUGUAAUAUUCCAUUGUACGCAUAGACUACAUUUAGCUUAUCUGUUCACCUGUGGAUGGACACUUGGGUUGCUAUAGUGAAUAAUAUUGCUGUAAAUAUGGGUAUACGAUUAUCUCUUUGUGACCCUGCUUUUAAUUGUUUUGGAUAUAUACCCAGAAAUGGAAUUACUGAAUCAUGUGGAGAUUCUGUUUUUGAUUUAUUUAUUUAUUUUUAAUUUUUGAGAUGGAGUCUCGUUCUGUCACCCAGGCUGGAGUGCAGUGACACGAUCUCUGCUCACUGCAACCUCUGCCUCCUUGCACCAUUAAUUCUGAAAAUGCAGGCCUGGAUCCAACCGCCUUUGGGGACGGGUACCUGCCCACAGGAAGAGGUUGAGGAGACAAUAAUGUCACGAGAAUCAUCAUCUUUGACUGGGAAAUGGUGUGCAGAGUUUCUGGUGCCUUCUGAAGUGAUUGUCGCAUCUCAGCCUCCCUAGUAGCUGGGAUUACAGGCAUUUGCCACCAAGCCCGGCUAAUUUUUGUAUUUUUAGUAGAGACGGGGUUUCAUCAUGUUGGCCAGGCUGGUCUCAAACUCCUGACCUCAGGUGAUCCACCUGCCUCAGCCUCCCAAAGUGCUGGGAUUAUAGGUGUGAGCCAUGCACCUGGCCUGAUUGGUUAUUUAAAUUCUGAGAUGGGGUAUACUAAUGUUUGAAAACCACAGGGAUGGGAUAGGUAUAGGUGGGGAGGGAGAGCAAAAGUGGUAUUUAGAAUAUGUUACGUUUGAAAAACCUAAUACACAUUCUACAUCCAAGUGGACAUAGAUGGAGUUAUUUGA